UUUUAGCCAACAAAUCAUCCCUCCUUGCAUACAGCUUCUUUGCAUCCUCUUUCAACCUUUCAUAAUUCUUUUCUAAAUUUUUUGCAUAGUCUAUUGCUCCAUCAAUGGACNUAUGUUUCUCACAUCUUUGUAUGCCUCAACUGCUGUUGCUGAAGCUGCAGCAGCUAAUGCCUCAGUCAUCCCUAAGAGCUUGUAUUGGAGUACCGGUUUGAUAGUUCAGGCUAGACUUUCCAUGGAUUGACCUUUUUGCUCAUACCUACAGAAUUUGAACUGAGCUAAAAAAAGGAAAAAAAAGAAAAAACAGAGAAAAUUUCUUAAACUUGAAAAAAGAAGUGGAAAAGGGAAAGCCCAAAGCUGUAUAUGAAUCCCGGCAAGGCUAAUGCCACUGGCAAUUGAGCUCAAAUCAAUGAACUGGGCAAAGGAGACGGAGUCUUUGAGGCGGGGGCAGCAGUCUCCC
rnacentral:misc_RNA from 1 species